rnacentral:rRNA from 1 species
UACGUAGGGGGCUAGCGUUGUCCGGAUUUAUUGGGCGUAAAGAGCGUGUAGGCGGCCAGGUAGGUCUGGUGUGAAAACUCGAGGCUUAACCUCGAGAUGUCAUCGGAAACCAUCUGGCUAGAGUCCGGAAGAGGAGAGUGGAAUUCCUGGUGUAGCGGUGAAAUGCGCAGAUAUCAGGAAGAACACCAAUGGCGAAAGCAGCUCUCUGGGACGGUACUGACGCUGAGGUGCGAAAGCGUGGGGAGCAAACAGG